GACGAACGCUGGCGGCGUGCUUAACACAUGCAAGUCGAACGGAAAGGCCUGCUUUCCCUUGUGGAUUGCGGGUACUCGAGUGGCGAACGGGUGAGUAACACGUGAGUGAUCUGCCCCCAACUUGGGUAUAAGCCUGGGAAACUGGGUCUAAUUCCCGAUAGGACUGCAGGGUGGUUCCUGUGGUGGAAAACGAUUUUCUAGUGGUUGGGGAUGAGCUCGCGGCCUAUCAGCUUGUUGGUGGGGUAAUGGCCUACCAAGGCGGCGACGGGUAGCCGGCCUGAGAGGGUGGACGGCCACAUUGGGACUGAGAUACGGCCCAGACUCCUACGGGAGGCAGCAGUGGGGAAUAUUGCACAAUGGGCGGAAGCCUGAUGCAGCGACGCCGCGUGGGGGAUGACGGCCUUCGGGUUGUAAACUCCUUUCGACCGCGAGGAAGCCACCUGGUUGGAAGGGUGGUGACGGUAGUGGUAGAAGAAGCACCGGCUAACUACGUG
rnacentral:rRNA from 1 species